CCUACGCGAGGCAGCAGUGGGGAAUAUUGCGCAAUGGUCGAAAGCCUGACGCAGCGACGCCGCGUGAGGGAUGAAGGUCUUCGGAUCGUAAACCUCUGUCAGCAGGGAAGCACGGUCACUGUGCUAAUCAGCAGUGAAUUGACGAUCCCUGCAAAGGACACACCGGCUAACUCCGUGCCAGCCGCCGCGGUAAUACGGAGGGUGCGGGCGUUAAUCGGAAUUACUGGUCGUGAAGCGCUCGUAGGCGGUAUGUCAAGUCAAGGGUGAAAUCCCCGCGCGCAACGUGGGAACUGCCUUUGAAACUGGCAAACUGGAGUGUGUGAGAGGAGAGUGGAAUUCCAGGUGGAGGAGUGAAAUCCGUAGAUAUCUGGAGGAACAUCAGUGGCGAAGGCGACUAUCUGGCACAUAACUGACGCUGAGGAGCGAAAGCGUGGGUAGCAAACAGGAUUAGAUACCCGGGUAGUC
rnacentral:rRNA from 1 species